UACGUAGGGUGCGAGCGUUGUCCGGAAUUAUUGGGCGUAAAGGGCUCGUAGGCGGUUUGUCGCGUCGGGAGUGAAAAUCCAGGGCUUAACUCUGGACUGGCUUUCGAUACGGGCAGACUAGAGGUAUGCAGGGGAGAACGGAAUUCCUGGUGUAGCGGUGAAAUGCGCAGAUAUCAGGAGGAACACCGGUGGCGAAGGCGGUUCUCUGGGCAUUACCUGACGCUGAGGAGCGAAAGCGUGGGGAGCGAACAGG
rnacentral:rRNA from 1 species